rnacentral:misc_RNA from 1 species
GAAAUGCGAUAAGUAAUGUGAAUUGCAGAAUUCAGUGAAUCAUCGAAUCUUUGAACGCACCUUGCGCUCCUUGGUAUUCCUUGGAGCAUGCCUGUUUGAGUAUCAUGAAAUCUUCAAAGUAAAUCUUUUGUUAACUCAAUUGGUUUCUACUUUGGUAUUGGAGGUCUUUGCAGCUUCACACCUGCUCCUGUUUGUUCAUUAGCUGGAUCUCAGUGUUAUGCUUGGUUCCACUCGGCGUGAUAAGUUAUCUAUCGCUGAGGACACUGUAAAAGGUGGCCAAGGUAAAUGCAGAUGAACCGCUUCUAAUAGUCCAUUGACUUGGACAAUACUUUUAUGAUCUGAUCUCAAAUCAGGUAGGACUACCCGCUGAACUUAAGC